rnacentral:rRNA from 1 species
UACGGAGGAUGCGAGCGUUAUCCGGAUUUAUUGGGUUUAAAGGGUGCGUAGGCGGUCCGUUAAGUCAGCGGUAAAAUUGCGGGGCUCAACCUCCGCCCGCCGUUGAAACUGACGGUCUUGAGUGGGCGAGAAGUAUGCGGAAUGCGUGGUGUAGCGGUGAAAUGCAUAGAUAUCACGCAGAACGCCGAUUGCGAAGGCAGCGUACCGGCGCCCAACUGACGCUGAAGCACGAAAGCGUGGGGAUCGAACAGG